UCAUUCCUGGGGAAGCCAGCUACCAUGUUUGAGGCUACUCAAUGAGUCCUAGGAGAGGUCCAUGUGGUAUGGAGUGGAGGCCUCUCUCCAACAGCCAGUGAGGAACUGAGGCCUUGCACCAACAGCAUGCCAUGCUAUGGAGAUUGCACAAUGGACCUAUUGCUUCAAAGGAGAGUCACACAACACUCCCCAGCCACUGUGUUGACAGCCCUGGGCUGGAGGAAAGGCAGCAGUCUUCACAGAGCUGACUUUACGGCCGGGCUCACCCUUCACCCCAAGACAGCUUUGAUCACUGGGAAGUUUCCACAAACACAGAAUGAAUGAGGAAGAAGGUGGUUAGAUUUUCGGUGUGAUCCACGUGGACGAGAGGUGUUGCAUGCUUUUACAAAUUGAAGGUCUGUGACAACCCUGGGUCAAGCAAGUCUAUCAGUGCCAUUCUUCCAACAUAGGUGUAUAUGCUGGAGCAGCUGUACUUAAGUUCAGAAAUAAGAAGACAAUUGAUCUGAGGACUCAGGAGAGAGCAUGGCUGCUGCAUAGAUGGUGCCUUCCAUCGCUUGGCAUAGGGAAGCCCAGCCAAAGCCUGUGUCUUGGGCAGCCCGGGAGCUCUCAGGAUGGCUUGAAAUCUCCCACAUGGCCUGGGCCUGUUCUCCUUCCCCUCCAGCUCUCCUGGGUGCAGUCAAAGCUUCACUCCCUACUCCCUACUGAACUAUCGGCUGACUGAUUCCCACUUGUCCAUGCCCCAGGACCCCACAGAAGCUCCACAUGCUUCCACAAGCUGAUGCGCCAGUUCCAAGAGGGGGAAGAAAAGCUGGCACUCAGCCUUUAUUUCUCCCCAAACUCCACAGUCAUUCAAUUCUGAAAAA